UAAUGUGUGUAAUUCCUUCAGCCAGGGAGGU
rnacentral:piRNA from 1 species